CCCGCUGAACUUAAGCAUAUCAAUAAGCGGAGGAAAAGAAACUAACAAGAAUUCCCCUAGUAACGGCGAGUGAAGCGGGAAGAGCUCAAAUUUAAAAUCUGGUUUGCUUUGCAAAUCCGAGUUGUAGUCUGAAGAAACGUUUUCCAUGAAAGCUGAGGCACAAGUCCUUUGGAACAGGGCAUCAUAGAGGGUGAGAAUCCCGUCCAUGGUCUCAAGCCUUUCAUUUUGUGAUACGUUUUCUAAGAGUCAGGUUGUUUGGGAAUGCAGCCUAAAAUGGGUGGUAAAUUUCAUCUAAAGCUAAAUAUUGUUAAAGACCGAGCGAGAACUUGUCCAUGAGCGAAAGGUGAAAAGAUUCAGCACAGACAGUUUAGUAGUACGCAUCUAAAGCGAAAGGUAGCCCUGAGAACGCCAUCGCACAAGUAGAGGGACCGACAGACGACGCGCGCGUAUAAAAGAGGGGGAUACACUACUCGAAAUGGUUGAAAGAGAAGGGAUUGUGACCAGACGAAGGCGGGCUGGAGCGUGCCCUGGUCCCGUCCAAUGCACCAUGCCGGGUUCAGGGCCGCACCGGUGCGUCGCGGGCGGGUAAGCCUUCGAGAAGGUGGCUCCUUUAGGAGGCUUAUAGCCCGUUGCAUACUAACCUGCGCUGGACUGAUGGACUCGCGCAUCGCAUAGGAUGCUGGCGUAAUGGCAAUAAGUGACCCGUCUUGAAACACGG
rnacentral:rRNA from 1 species